GUGUGACUGCGUACCUUUUGUAUAAUGGGUCAGCGACUUAUAUUCUGUAGCAAGGUUAACCGAAUAGGGGAGCCGGAGGGAAACCGAGUCUUAACCGGGCGUUAAGUUGCAGGGUAUAGACCCGAAACCCGGUGAUCUAGCCAUGGGCAGGUUGAAGGUUGGGUAACACUAACUGGAGGACCGAACCGACUAAUGUUGAAAAAUUAGCGGAUGACCUGUGGCUGGGGGUGAAAGGCCAAUCAAACCGGGAGAUAGCUGGUUCUCCCCGAAAGCUAUUUAGGUAGCGCCUCGUGAAUUCAUCUCCGGGGGUAGAGCACUGUUUCGGCUAGGGGGCCAUCCCGGCUUACCAACCCGAUGCAAACUGCGAAUACCGGAGAAUGUUAUCACGGGAGACACACGGCGGGUGCUAACGUCCGUCGUGAAGAGGGAAACAACCCAGACCGCCAGCUAAGGUCCCAAAGUCAUGGUUAAGUGGGAAACGAUGUGGGAAGGCCCAGACAGCCAGGAUGUUGGCUUAGAAGCAGCCAUCAUUUAAAGAAAGCGUAAUAGCUCACUGGUCGAGUCGGCCUGCGCGGAAGAUGUAACGGGGCUAAACCAUGCACCGAAGCUGCGGCAGCGACACUGUGUGUUGUUGGGUAGGGGAGCGUUCUGUAAGCCUGUGAAGGUGUGUCGUGAGGCAUGCUGGAGGUAUCAGAAGUGCGAAUGCUGACAUAAGUAACGAUAAAGCGGGUGAAAAGCCCGCUCGCCGGAAGACCAAGGGUUCCUGUCCAACGUUAAUCGGGGCAGGGUGAGUCGACCCCUAAGGCGAGGCCGAAAGGCGUAGUCGAUGGGAAACGGGUUAAUAUUCCCGUACUUGGUGUUACUGCGAAGGGGGGACGGAGAAGGCUAUGUUGGCCGGGCGACGGUUGUCCCGGUUUAAGCGUGUAGGUGUGUGUUCCAGGUAAAUCCGGUUCACUUUAACACUGAGGCGUGACGACGAGGCACUACGGUGCUGAAGCAACAAAUGCCCUGCUUCCAGGAAAAGCCUCUAAGCAUCAGGUAACAUCAAAUCGUACCCCAAACCGACACAGGUGGUCAGGUAGAGAAUACCAAGGCGCUUGAGAGAACUCGGGUGAAGGAACUAGGCAAAAUGGUGCCGUAACUUCGGGAGAAGGCACGCUGACACGUAGGUGAAGUGAUUUACUCAUGGAGCUGAAGUCAGUCGAAGAUACCAGCUGGCUGCAACUGUUUAUUAAAAACACAGCACUGUGCAAACACGAAAGUGGACGUAUACGGUGUGACGCCUGCCCGGUGCCGGAAGGUUAAUUGAUGGGGUCAGCGCAAGCGAAGCUCCUGAUCGAAGCCCCGGUAAACGGCGGCCGUAACUAUAACGGUCCUAAGGUAGCGAAAUUCCUUGUCGGGUAAGUUCCGACCUGCACGAAUGGCGUAAUGAUGGCCAGGCUGUCUCCACCCGAGACUCAGUGAAAUUGAACUCGCUGUGAAGAUGCAGUGUACCCGCGGCAAGACGGAAAGACCCCGUGAACCUUUACUAUAGCUUGACACUGAACAUUGAGCCUUGAUGUGUAGGAUAGGUGGGAGGCUUUGAAGUGUGGACGCCAGUCUGCAUGGAGCCGACCUUGAAAUACCACCCUUUAAUGUUUGAUGUUCUAACGUGGACCCGUUACCCGGGUUGCGGACAGUGUCUGGUGGGUAGUUUGACUGGGGCGGUCUCCUCCUAAAGAGUAACGGAGGAGCACGAAGGUUGGCUAAUCCUGGUCGGACAUCAGGAGGUUAGUGCAAUGGCAUAAGCCAGCUUGACUGCGAGCGUGACGGCGCGAGCAGGUGCGAAAGCAGGUCAUAGUGAUCCGGUGGUUCUGAAUGGAAGGGCCAUCGCUCAACGGAUAAAAGGUACUCCGGGGAUAACAGGCUGAUACCGCCCAAGAGUUCAUAUCGACGGCGGUGUUUGGCACCUCGAUGUCGGCUCAUCACAUCCUGGGGCUGAAGUAGGUCCCAAGGGUAUGGCUGUUCGCCAUUUAAAGUGGUACGCGAGCUGGGUUUAGAACGUCGUGAGACAGUUCGGUCCCUAUCUGCCGUGGGCGCUGGAGAACUGAGGGGGGCUGCUCCUAGUACGAGAGGACCGGAGUGGACGCAUCACUGGUGUUCGGGUUGUCAUGCCAAUGGCACUGCCCGGUAGCUAAAUGCGGAAGAGAUAAGUGCUGAAAGCAUCUAAGCACGAAACUUGCCCCGAGAUGAGUUCU
rnacentral:rRNA from 1 species